rnacentral:rRNA from 1 species
UGGUGGAGUGAUUUGUCUGCUUAAUUGCGUCAACGAACGAGAUCUUUUCUUGCUAAAUAAGGGAAGGUUCUAUAGAACUUUUCUCUUUCUUAGAGGAACUGCGUGUUUUAAACACGAGGAAGGGAAAGGUAAUAACA